rnacentral:rRNA from 1 species
CUCAGAGUGAACGCUGGCGGCGUGCCUAACACAUGCAAGUCGAACGAGAACGGAUAUUAGCUUGCUAAUAUUGUCAGCUAAGUGGCGCACGGGUGAGUAAUAUAUAGUUAAUCUGCCCCAAAGAAGAGAAUAAUUGUUGGAAACGACUUGUAAUGCUCUAUAUGCCUUUAUCACAAAAGUGAGCAAGGGAAACAUUUAUGGCUUUGGGAUGAGACUGUACAGUAUCAGUUAGUUGGUGAGGUAAUGGCUCACCAAGACAAUGACACUUAACUGGUUUGAGAGGAUGAUCAGUCACACUGGAACUGAGACACGGUCCAGACUCCUACGGGAGGCAGCAGUGGGGAAUAUUGCACAAUGGAGGGAACUCUGAUGCAGCAACGCCGCGUGGAGGAUGACACAUUUCGGGUGCGUAAACUCCUUUUAUAUGAGAAGAUAAUGACGGUAUCAUAUGAAUAAU